CAUAUCGGCCUCCCGAGGCAGGACCCAACCCCACCGCUGGUGGAUACCUUAGCUUAGGCUCGGGGAAUCUCGCCGUCGCCGUCGCCUCCGCCGCCGCCGGCUUGAUCUGAGCAGUCGCCUACUCGCCGAACGGGUCCCGAUGGCGCGGCUGCACUGGCUGGAGGCCAUCCUGCCGCUCGGAAUCAUCGGCGGCAUGCUCUGCAUCAUGGGGAACGCGCAGUACUACAUCCACAGGGCCGCGCACGGCAGGCCGAAGCACAUCGGGAACGACAAUUGGGACAUGGCGAUGGCUCGCCGGGACAAGGCCCUCCUCCGCCAGGCACAGGCCUCCGGCAACUAGGAUAUUGAUCAACAUUGAUCUUGCCUGGAUGUUGACGAAGCUCUUUCAAAUGCCCAGAACUUCUACUGUUAGUUUCCUUGUAUAAUGGGAAGCAGGGCUUAUGCUUUUCUUUUCUUUUACAACUUUUCGAACAUUGGAUGAAUAAUGUGUAUCUGGAAUCUGUUUAAUUACACAAAGUGGGUGUCCCCUGUCAACUUUGUACCCAUUUCUCCCAGGAGCUGAUCAUGAAGAAAGUAUUGUUUGUUGUUC